CGCGGCCUAUCAGCUUGUUGGCGGGGUAAUGGCCCACCAAGGCGACGACGGGUAGCUGGUCUGAGAGGAUGGCCAGCCACAUUGGGACUGAGAAACGGCCCAGACUCCUACGGGAGGCAGCAGUGGGGAAUCUUGCGCAAUGGCCGAAAGGCUGACGCAGCGACGCCGCGUGUGGGAGGACGCCUUUCGGGGUGUAAACCACUGUUGCCCGGGACGAACAGCCUUUUUCGAGAGGUCCGACGGUACCGGGUGAGGAAGCACCGGCUAACUCCGUGCCAGCAGCCGCGGUAAUACGUAGGGGGCAAGCGUUGUCCGGAUUUAUUGGGCGUAAAGAGCUCGUAGGCGGCUUGGCAAGUCGAAUGUGAAACCUCCAGGCUCAACCUGGAGAUGCCAUUUGAUACUGCCAUGGCUAGAGUUUGGUAGGGGACCACGGAAUUCCUGGUGUAGCGGUGAAAUGCGCAGAUAUCAGGAGGAACACCAGCGGCGAAGGCGGUGGUCUGGGCCAAUACUGACGCUGAGGAGCGAAAGCGUGGGGAGCGAACAGGAUUAGAUACCCUGGUAGUCCACGCCGUAAACGUUGGGCACUAGGUGUGGGGACCUAUCGACGGUUUCUGUGCCGCAGCUAACGCAUUAAGUGCCCCGCCUGGGGAGU
rnacentral:rRNA from 1 species